rnacentral:rRNA from 1 species
UACAUAGCAAGUCGAGCGAAUGACGAAGAAGCUUGCUUCUUCUGAUUUAGCGGCGGACGGGUGAGUAACACGUGGGCAACCUGCCCUGUAGAUUGGGAUAACUCCGGGAAACCGGGGCUAAUACCGAAUAAUCCAUUUCCUCUCAUGUGGAAAUGUUAAAAGACGGUUUCGGCUGUCACUACAGGAUGGGCCCGCGGCGCAUUAGCUAGUUGGUGAGGUAACGGCUCACCAAGGCGACGAUGCGUAGCCGACCUGAGAGGGUGAUCGGCCACACUGGGACUGAGACACGGCCCAGACUCCUACGGGAGGCAGCAGUAGGGAAUCUUCCACAAUGGACGAAAGUCUGAUGGAGCAAUGCCGCGUGAGUGAAGAAGGUUUUCGGAUCGUAAAACUCUGUUGUGAGGGAAGAACAAGUACGAGAGUAACUGCUCGUACCUUGACGGUA